UACGGAGGGUGCAAGCGUUAUCCGGAUUCACUGGGUUUAAAGGGUGCGUAGGUGGGUUUGUAAGUCAGUGGUGAAAUCUCCGUGCUUAACAUGGAAACUGCCAUUGAUACUAUAGAUCUUGAAUUUUCUGGAGGAUAGCGGAAUAUGUCAUGUAGCGGUGAAAUGCUUAGAUAUGACAUAGAACACCAAUUGCGAAGGCAGCUCACUACGGAUAUAUUGACACUGAGGCACGAAAGCGUGGGGAUCAAACAGG
rnacentral:rRNA from 1 species